AAAUUGAAGAGUUUGAUCAUGGCUCAGAUUGAACGCUGGCGGCAGGCCUAACACAUGCAAGUCGAACGGUAACAGGAAGCAGCUUGCUGCUUUGCUGACGAGUGGCGGACGGGUGAGUAAUGUCUGGGAAACUGCCUGAUGGAGGGGGAUAACUACUGGAAACGGUGGCUAAUACCGCAUAACGUCGCAAGACCAAAGAGGGGGACCUUCGGGCCUCUUGCCAUCAGAUGUGCCCAGAUGGGAUUAGCUUGUUGGUGAGGUAACGGCUCACCAAGGCGACGAUCCCUAGCUGGUCUGAGAGGAUGACCAGCCACACUGGAACUGAGACACGGUCCAGACUCCUACGGGAGGCAGCAGUGGGGAAUAUUGCACAAUGGGCGCAAGCCUGAUGCAGCCAUGCCGCGUGUAUGAAGAAGGCCUUCGGGUUGUAAAGUACUUUCAGCGGGGAGGAAGGUGUUGUGGUUAAUAACCGCAGCAAUUGACGUUACCCGCAGAAGAAGCACCGGCUAACUCCGUGCCAGCAGCCGCGGUAAUACGGAGGGUGCAAGCGUUAAUCGGAAUUACUGGGCGUAAAGCGCACGCAGGCGGUCUGUCAAGUCGGAUGUGAAAUCCCCGGGCUCAACCUGGGAACUGCAUUCGAAACUGGCAGGCUUGAGUCUUGUAGAGGGGGGUAGAAUUCCAGGUGUAGCGGUGAAAUGCGUAGAGAUCUGGAGGAAUACCGGUGGCGAAGGCGGCCCCCUGGACAAAGACUGACGCUCAGGUGCGAAAGCGUGGGGAGCAAACAGGAUUAGAUACCUCGGUAGUCCACGCCGUAAACGAUGUCUACUUGGAGGUUGUGCCCUUGAGGCGUGGCUUCCGGAGCUAACGCGUUAAGUAGACCGCCCGGGAGUACGGCCGCAAGGUUAAAACUCAAAUGAAUUGACGGGGGCCCGCACAAGCGGUGGAGCAUGUGGUUUAAUUCGAUGCAACGCGAAGAACCUUACCUGGUCUUGACAUCCACAGAAGAAUCCAGAGAUGGAUUUGUGCCUUCGGGAACUGUGAGACAGGUGCUGCAUGGCUGUCGUCAGCUCGUGUUGUGAAAUGUUGGGUUAAGUCCCGCAACGAGCGCAACCCUUAUCCUUUGUUGCCAGCGGUUAGGCCGGGAACUCAAAGGAGACUGCCAGUGAUAAACUGGAGGAAGGUGGGGAUGACGUCAAGUCAUCAUGGCCCUUACGACCAGGGCUACACACGUGCUACAAUGGCGCAUACAAAGAGAAGCGACCUCGCGAGAGCAAGCGGACCUCAUAAAGUGCGUCGUAGUCCGGAUUGGAGUCUGCAACUCGACUCCAUGAAGUCGGAAUCGCUAGUAAUCGUGGAUCAGAAUGCCACGGUGAAUACGUUCCCGGGCCUUGUACACACCGCCCGUCACACCAUGGGAGUGGGUUGCAAAAGAAGUAGGUAGCUUAACCUUCGGGAGGGCGCUUACCACUUUGUGAUUCAUGACUGGGGUGAAGUCGUAACAAGGUAACCGUAGGGGAACCUGCGGUUGGAUCACCUCCUUA
rnacentral:rRNA from 1 species